rnacentral:rRNA from 1 species
UACGUAGGGGGCAAGCGUUGUCCGGAAUUAUUGGGCGUAAAGAGCGUGUAGGCGGUCCGGUAAGUCAGCUGUGAAAGUCAAGGGCUCAACCCUUGAAAGCCGGUUGAUACUGUCGGGCUAGAGUCCGGAAGAGGCGAGUGGAAUCCCGGUGUAGCGGUGAAAUGCGCAGAUAUCGGGAGGAACACCAAUGGCGAAGGCAGCUCGCUGGGACGGUACUGACGCUGAGACGCGAAAGCGUGGGGAGCA